ACUGCAAGGCCAACCCCACAGUUCUCAUUUUCUGUUUCCCUGCUUUUAUUGGCAUCUCUCUGAGUCCAAAGGUUUCACAGCCCCACCAGCACGGUGGUGAACAACUCAAGAGUUUUCUAAGACAAAAUACCUCGACUAGUGGUGCAGCAUUAACUCGAUCCCAUCAAAAAAAGCCACAGAACAGAUCCUUCUGGGUGACAGACAUCAGCAUUACAGGAUGGUAAUGCCUAAGGAGGAAUAAUUACGCCAACGUGAGAACUUUCAGAGGAGCAGCUGCAUUCAGAAGAAUCAAAGAAAGCAUUUUCCUAAUAUAAAUAUGCUGCCACAAGAAAAGCAGAAGUAGUAAAAAUGUGCAUUUCAAUACAGCGGAAGUAAUGGCUCCUUUUAACAACAUGCUUCAAGUUUCUCAAGGGACUUGUUUAUUUGUAACACAAAGCACUCCACUUCGUGUUUCCAUUAUGUCAUGUGUCAUUUGUCUUUCUCAGAGAAAUCUGUGUUGUCAAUAUCUAUUUUAUUGUUCAGUAAAUUUUCAUUACACAUGC